rnacentral:lncRNA from 10 species
CUCAUUCCACUAGUGACUAGACUGCCAGUCAGCAAGAAAUAAGCAUCUGGCACUUUAAGCCACUGGGAUUUCAUGACACACUGUAAGAGCCAGGAACAGGAGGGGUGAUAGGAAGAGAGAAAGAGUAGAGCAUUCCUAACAGGGCUGGGAAGAAAAAUCCAUCAGAGUAAGAGAUGGCAGUGGUUGGAAAAAGUAAAGACAUUCUCUACUUGUA